UACGUAGGGUGCAAGCGCUAAUCGGAAUUACUGGGCGUAAAGCGUGCGCAGGCGGUUGUGUAAGACAGAUGUGAAAUCCCCGGGCUCAACCUGGGAACUGCAUUUGUGACUGCACGGCUCGAGUGCGGCAGAGGGGGAUGGAAUUCCGCGUGUAGCAGUGAAAUGCGUAGAUAUGCGGAGGAACACCGAUGGCGAAGGCAAUCCCCUGGGCCUGCACUGACGCUCAUGCACGAAAGCGUGGGGAGCAAACAGG
rnacentral:rRNA from 1 species